AGCCUUCUUGAUUGAAUCGGCCGGUUCGUGAGUCAAUUAAGGCAGUUUUAGGUCAAAUGAGUUUCUUGUGCAAGCUAUCAUCAAAUUGCUGUGCAAUUAGAAGGUCCAGAACCAGAAGCAGGCUUUUUUAACCCCCUUUUUCUUUUUGGAUUUGCAGCUUAAUCUAUCUUUUGUUUCUUUGUAUGUGGAUUUCUUUUUUAAGUCAUCCCCCUUAACAUCUCAGUUCUUCCUUUUGUCAAUAAUUAAACAGUCUACUAUAGAGCCUUCCCCGUCAUCAUCCCCAUUAUCAUCAUCUCAAUACUUACAGGGAAUUGUUAUGAAACCACCGUACCAUGUAAUAUGUAGUACAGUGUUACUUUAAGCGAUAACACUCAUCCUACUGAUGAGUCACUUGGAGAGCCUACAGACACGUUUCUAGAUGUUUUCAGAGUACUGCUUGUGGGUUGCAAAUAUUGAACUGUACCUUCCUGAAGAAGACAACAUACUGUGUUGGGGAAAAUAUAAUCAAGUGCUAUCACAAUCUUCGUGCAAACUUAACAUAUCUUGGAGUUUCGGAUGGCAUUAAACCCGGGUUGUUCAUGUGGUUUUACCAAACUAUUUUAGCAAGAUAUUUCUUAUCCUGUACGCUGGUUCUGAUAUGGUUGGUUUGCUUAGGGCUGUCCAUUUUCUCAAUAUAUACUUCUAGCUACCUCACAGGAUUCUCUCAUUUUCAAGUGUUCUUUUUUUAAUCUUUUUUCUUAUAAGUAAUUUAAGUGUCAAAAUGGCUCUCUUUUCUUGUAGGAAAUGCCCUUUUCCUUAGUUCCGAUCGAGCAUGUAAUUUUGGUUAGCAUCAUAUAUUUUCUUGUCCUUGUUUGUUGAUAAGUGUCUUGUCCUUGUUUGUUGAUAGGUGUACUUGGAUGGAUACUCAAGUGCAGGGGAUGCUAUUUGAGGCUUAAUGCUGCAACUGUUUGAUUAAACACUACAGUAUCUUCAAAUCAUGGGCCAAGUUAAAAUCAUCAGUCAUGAGCCUCGGCUGAAGUUGCACCAUCUGGUCCCUUCCCUGCUUAACUGAUGGAAACUGUUCCGCAACUAAACUCUUCAGGUCAGGAAACUCGCAAUGUCACUUUCUGCAGCCUCUCAAACUUAUUUUUAGCUUUAGGUUGGUGUCACUUAUGUUAGUUAUAUCUUAGCCAUCAUGCUAUACAAUGUUAAUUUAUAGACAUAUAAUAUUUGGUUAGAGAAAAAGUACAAGAAAAGGAACUCCUAUGCUCUUUGGGGUAAAACAAAUUCUAGCUACGUUGUCAACUAUAUCUAUUAAUGUUUUGAUUUGAUAGUUUAACAUAACAAAACUACAUGGUUAACUAGGUACAUGGAUCUUCCCAUGUUCUUUUUGUCAAAAAACCAAUUUUCGGGUCAUUACCAUGCUUUGAGAUCAUUAGUAAUUUUGUAUCCGCCCUUUUGAAUGCAACAAGACUAACCCGUCAUAAUCAUUCGCGUUAGCAUCUGUUAUGUGGAGUCUACCGCGGGUAUGUGAAUCACAACUUUUUCGAGUUCAUUGAUUGUGAUAUUAUAUAUUUGUUGAUUAAUAUAUUCCUUUGGAUUGCCUAAAAGAAAAUAUAGGAAAUAAACACAAAAGUAGAAAAGAUUGAGGAAUUUUUGUUUUCUUUAGCUUUUUUUAAAAAAUGUUUUUAACUAGAAAUUGCAAUUAAAAAAAAAAUUGCAAAGUUAAGAGAAGAAUAGCUCUAUAUAUCACAAACUCUACAUUUGUGUGUUUAUGGACCACUUCACUCACUUUGUCUCUCUCUACCAUUUUGUCUUGUCCAUUGUCUUCACUUACCCAGACGCACCAAAUUAUCAUCAUCAUCAUCUAAGCUUAUUACCAAUUUUGAGUUUUAUUUGUUUCGGCAAUUAAUGACUCCAUUGUGCACUAGAUUCGUUUUAAACCUCGUAAAAUAUAUAUUUGUACUCAAGAUGUUUAUUUUCGUGUUUUUCUUAUAUUGUUUUUUGUA